rnacentral:rRNA from 1 species
UGGGGAAUAUUGGACAAUGGGCGAAAGCCUGAUCCAGCCAUGCCGCGUGUGUGAAGAAGGUCUUCGGAUUGUAAAGCACUUUAAGUUGGGAGGAAGGGCAUUAACCUAAUACGUUAGUGUUUUGACGUUACCGACAGAAUAAGCACCGGCUAACUCUGUGCCAGCAGCCGCGGUAAUACAGAGGGUGCAAGCGUUAAUCGGAAUUACUGGGUGUAAAGCGCGCGUAGGUGGUUUGUUAAGUUGGAUGUGAAAUCCCCGGGCUCAACCUGGGAACUGCAUUCAAAACUGACUGACUAGAGUAUGGUAGAGGGUGGUGGAAUUUCCUGUGUAGCGGUGAAAUGCGUAGAUAUAGGAAGGAACACCAGUGGCGAAGGCGACCACCUGGACUAAUACUGACACUGAGGUGCGAAAGCGUGGGGAGCAAACA